rnacentral:rRNA from 1 species
GAGUUUGAUCUUGGCUCAGAUUGAACGCUGGCGGCAGGCUUAACAUAUGCAAGUCGAGCGGGGGAGAUUGCUUCGGUAAUUGACCUAGCGGCGAACGGGUGAGUAAUACUUAGGAAUCUGCCUAUUAAUGGGGGACAACAUCUCGAAAGGGAUGCUAAUACCGCAUACGCCCUACGGGGAAAGCAGGGGAUCACUUGUGACCUUGCGUUAAUAGAUGAGCCUAAGUCGGAUUAGCUAGUUGGUGGGGUAAAGGCCUACCAAGGCGACGAUCUGUAGCGGGUCUGAGAGGAUGAUCCGCCACACUGGGACUGAGACACGGCCCAGACUCCUACGGGAGGCAGCAGUGGGGAAUAUUGGACAAUGGGGGAACCCUGAUCCAGCCAUGCCGCGUGUGUGAAGAAGGCCCUAUGGUUGUAAAGCACUUUAAGCGAGGAGGAGGCUCCUGUAGUUAAUACCUACAGAGAGUGGACGUUACUCGCAGAAUAAGCACCGGCUAACUCUGUGCCAGCAGCCG